rnacentral:rRNA from 1 species
CGCGUAGGCGGUCUGAUAAGUCAGUUGUGAAAGCCCGGGGCUCAACCCCGGAAGUGCAAUUGAAACUGUCAGGCUUGAGUAUGGUAGAGGGAAGUGGAAUUCCAGGUGUAGCGGUGAAAUGCGUAGAUAUCUGGAGGAACACCGGUGGCGAAGGCGACUUCCUGGACUAAUACUGACGCUGAGGCGCGAAGGUGUGGGGAGCAAACAGGAUUAGAUACCCUGGUAGUCC